rnacentral:tRNA from 1 species
GCCUGGGUGGCUCAGUCGGUUGAGCGUCCGACUUCAGCUCGGGUCAUAAUCUCACAGUCUGUGAGUUCAAGCCCCGCAUCGGGCU